AAGUCGAGGGGCAGCAUGGUCUUAGCUUGCUAAGGCCGAUGGCGACCGGCGCACGGGUGAGUAACGCGUAUGCAACCUGCCCGAUACCGGGGUAUAGCCCAUGGAAACGUGGAUUAACACCCCAUAGUACUUUUAUCCUGCCUGGGAUGGGAGUUAAAUGUUCAAGGUAUCGGAUGGGCAUGCGUCCUAUUAGUUAGUUGGCGGGGUAACAGCCCACCAAGACGAUGAUAGGUAGGGGUUCUGAGAGGAAGGUCCCCACAUUGGAACUGAGACACGGUCCAAACUCC
rnacentral:rRNA from 1 species